GAUGAACGCUGGCGGCGUGCCUAAUACAUGCAAGUCGAGCGAACAGACGAGGAGCUUGCUCCGCUAUCGUUAGCGGCGGACGGGUGAGUAACACGUGGAUAACCUACCUAUAAGACUGGGAUAACUUCGGGAAACCGGAGCUAAUACCGGAUAAUAUAUUGAACCGCAUGGUUCAAUAGUGAAAGACGGUGUUGCUGUCACUUAUAGAUGGAUCCGCGCCGCAUUAGCUAGUUGGUAAGGUAACGGCUUACCAAGGCAACGAUGCGUAGCCGACGUGAGAGGGUGAUCGGCCACACGAGAGCUGAGACAGGGUCCAGGCUCCUACGGGAGGCAGCAGUAGGGAAUCGUCCGCAAUGGGCGAAAGCCUGACGGAGCAGCGGCGAGUGAGUGAUGAAGGUCUUCGGCUCGUAAAGCUCUGUUAUUAGGGAAGAACAGAUGUGUAAGUAACUAUACACGUCUUGACGGUACCUAAUCAGAAAGCCACGGCUAACUACGUG
rnacentral:rRNA from 1 species